AUUGAACGCUGGCGGCAGGCUUAACACAUGCAAGUCGAGCGGGGGAGGUUGCUUCGGUAACUGACCUAGCGGCGGACGGGUGAGUAAUGCUUAGGAAUCUGCCUAUUAGUGGGGGACAACGUUCCGAAAGGAACGCUAAUACCGCAUACGCCCUACGGGGGAAAGCAGGGGAUCUUCGGACCUUGCGCUAAUAGAUGAGCCUAAGUCGGAUUAGCUAGUUGGUGGGGUAAAGGCCUACCAAGGCGACGAUCUGUAGCGGGUCUGAGAGGAUGCUCCGCCAAGCUGGGACUGAGACACGGCCCAGACACCGACGGGAGGCAGCAGUGGGGAAUAUUGGACAAUGGGCGGAAGCCUGAUCCAGCCAUGCCGCGUGUGUGAAGAAGGCCUUUUGGUUGUAAAGCACUUUAAGCGAGGAGGAGGCUACUUUAGUUAAUACCUAGAGAUAGUGGACGUUACUCGCAGAAUAAGCACCGGCUAACUCUGUGCCAGCCGCCGCCGUAAGAC
rnacentral:rRNA from 1 species